GUAUGUGAGGGCAAUCUGGCUGUGACAUCUGUCACCCCCAUUGAUUGUCGAGGUUGAUUUGGCUGACUAGGUGCAUGUCCCCUUUCGCCCUCAGCACUCCAUGUGCAUCCCUCCUGAAGCUGCAAGCUCUGUUGAAGAGGACCACCUUCCCUGAUAGAGGAGGACCAUUCUUUGGUCAAGGGUAUAGGAGUAGCUGUGCUUUCUUUCCUCUCAAGGGCCAUUUGUAGGAGAAUGGUUAGUCAAGCUUCCAAGACUCUAGACACAUCCAGAUGAGGUGCUGCAUGUGGCAGGUUGCCUUUCUUU
rnacentral:snRNA from 1 species